rnacentral:rRNA from 1 species
AUGCGGGAGCGCGUCGACGUCCGCAAGAACAUGGUCCCCGUCCUCGACUACCUCGGCAAGAUCGGCGUCCGCCGCGACGAUCUCCCGCACCUGCUCCGCCGCUACCCGCAGGUGCUCCAUGCCAGCAUCAUCGUCGACCUCGCACCCAUCCCCGGUGAAGUGCCGCGUGUGCUCGAGCGCUACCCGGAGCUCCUCGGCUUCAAGCUCGAGGGCACCAUGAGCACCUCUGUAGCCUACCUCGUCGGCAUCGGCGUCGCCAGGCGGCAGAUCGGUGAUGUCAUCAUGUGUUUCCCUGAGGUGCUGGGCAUGCGGGUGGGGAAGAUCAUUAAGCCUAUCGUCGAACACCUUCAAGGCAUUGGCCUGCAGAGGCUGGCCGUUGCAAGAAUGAUCGAGAAGAAGCCGUAUGUCCUUGGGUUUGGGUUGGAGGAAAGGGUCAAGCCUAACAUUGAGGCACUUCUGGAGUUUGGGGUCAGGAAGGAGGCGCUACAUCCAUUCUUGUUUGAGUCCAGCAUUUUGGUCAGCGGUGAUGAUUUCAGAAGAGUCAUCGAGAGGAUGCCACAAGCCAUUAGCCUUGGGCGAGUUGCGGUUCUAAAGAACGUCAACUUCCUCACAGGCCGUGGCUUCUUGCUGUCUCAGGUGAGCAAGAUGGUCGUGGGGUGCCCCCAAUUGCUCGCACUGAACAUGGAUAUAAUGAAGAUGAACUUCGAGUACUUUAAGAAUGAAAUGGAGAGGGAUUUGGAGGAGCUGGUUGAGUUCCCGACGUUCUUUACAUAUGGCCUCGAAUCCAUUAUAAUAUAUCGGCAUGAGAUUGUGGCUAAAAAGGGGUUCACAUGCUCUCUCACAUGGCUGCUCAACUACUCUGAUGCAAAAUUCGAUCAGCGUAUGAAGUAUGACACGAUCGGAGUUGAAGAAAUGGAGAUGAUAAUUCCUUUGACAAAGAUAGGUUUGUGGAUCAAGUACAAGAUGAGGAUGAUGAGGAUAUGGAAGAGGAUAGUGAUUAUGAUGAGACUGACGAUGAGUUCAUCGAAUGAUAUCCUUCCCAGUUCGUAG